GAUUCCUAGUGAUUAGAGUUUGAUCAUGGCUCAGAUUGAACGCUGGCGGCAUGCCUUACACAUGCAAGUCGAACGGCAGCAUGAUCUAGCUUGCUAGAUUGAUGGCGAGUGGCGAACGGGUGAGUAAUACAUCGGAACGUGCCCUGUAGUGGGGGAUAACUAGUCGAAAGAUUAGCUAAUACCGCAUACGACCUGAGGGUGAAAGUGGGGGACCGCAAGGCCUCAUGCUAUAGGAGCGGCCGAUGUCUGAUUAGCUAGUUGGUGAGGUAAAGGCUCACCAAGGCGACGAUCAGUAGCUGGUCUGAGAGGACGAUCAGCCACACUGGGACUGAGACACGGCCCAGACUCCUACGGGAGGCAGCAGUGGGGAAUUUUGGACAAUGGGGGCAACCCUGAUCCAGCAAUGCCGCGUGUGUGAAGAAGGCCUUCGGGUUGUAAAGCACUUUUGUCCGGAAAGAAAUCGCACUUACUAAUAUUAGGUGUGGAUGACGGUACCGGAAGAAUAAGGACCGGCUAACUACGUGCCAGCAGCCGCGGUAAUACGUAGGGUCCAAGCGUUAAUCGGAAUUACUGGGCGUAAAGCGUGCGCAGGCGGUUGUGCAAGACCGAUGUGAAAUCCCCGGGCUUAACCUGGGAAUUGCAUUGGUGACUGCACGGCUAGAGUGUGUCAGAGGGGGGUAGAAUUCCACGUGUAGCAGUGAAAUGCGUAGAGAUGUGGAGGAAUACCGAUGGCGAAGGCAGCCCCCUGGGAUAACACUGACGCUCAUGCACGAAAGCGUGGGGAGCAAACAGGAUUAGAUACCCUGGUAGUCCACGCCCUAAACGAUGUCAACUAGUUGUUGGGGAUUCAUUUCCUUAGUAACGUAGCUAACGCGUGAAGUUGACCGCCUGGGGAGUACGGUCGCAAGAUUAAAACUCAAAGGAAUUGACGGGGACCCGCACAAGCGGUGGAUGAUGUGGAUUAAUUCGAUGCAACGCGAAAAACCUUACCUACCCUUGACAUGCCACUAACGAAGCAGAGAUGCAUUAGGUGCUCGAAAGAGAAAGUGGACACAGGUGCUGCAUGGCUGUCGUCAGCUCGUGUCGUGAGAUGUUGGGUUAAGUCCCGCAACGAGCGCAACCCUUGUCUCUAGUUGCUACGAAAGGGCACUCUAGAGAGACUGCCGGUGACAAACCGGAGGAAGGUGGGGAUGACGUCAAGUCCUCAUGGCCCUUAUGGGUAGGGCUUCACACGUCAUACAAUGGUGCAUACAGAGGGUUGCCAAGCCGCGAGGUGGAGCUAAUCCCAGAAAAUGCAUCGUAGUCCGGAUCGUAGUCUGCAACUCGACUACGUGAAGCUGGAAUCGCUAGUAAUCGCGGAUCAGCAUGCCGCGGUGAAUACGUUCCCNGGGUCUUGUAGACACCGCC
rnacentral:rRNA from 1 species